UACAGGGGGUGCAAACGUUGCUCGGAAUCAUUGGGCGUAAAGCGCACGUAGGUGGCCUGUUAAGUCGGGUGUGAAAUCCCUGGGCUCAACCCAGGAAGUGCACUCGAAACUGGCGGGCUUGAGUACUGAAGAGGGUCGCGGAAUUCCCGGUGUAGAGGUGAAAUUCGUAGAUAUCGGGAGGAACACCAGUGGCGAAGGCGGCGACCUGGGCAGAUACUGACACUGAGGUGCGAAAGCGUGGGGAGCAAACAGG
rnacentral:rRNA from 1 species